rnacentral:rRNA from 1 species
UACGUAGGGGGCUAGCGUUGUCCGGAAUCAUUGGGCGUAAAGAGCGUGUAGGCGGCCCGGUAAGUCCGCUGUAAAAGUCAAAGGCUCAACCUUUGAAUGUCAGUGGAUACUGCCGGGCUAGAGUCCGGAAGAGGCGAGUGGAAUUCCCGGUGUAGCGGUGAAAUGCGCAGAUAUCGGGAGGAACACCAGUGGCGAAGGCGGCUCACUGGUCCGGUACUGACGCUGAGGUGCGAAAGCGUGGGGAGCAAACAGG